rnacentral:rRNA from 1 species
GAUGAACGCUAGCGGCAGGCUUAACACAUGCAAGUCGAGGGACAGCACAGGUAGCAAUACUGGGUGGUAACCGGCAAACGGGUGCGGAACACGUACACAACCUUCCUUUAAGUGGGGGAUAGCCCAGAGAAAUUUGGAUUAAUACCCCGUAAUAUAGUUGAAUAGCAUCAUUUGAUUAUUAUAGCUACGGCGCUUAAUGAUGGGUGUGCGGCUGAUUAGAUAGUUGGCGGGGUAACGGCCCACCAAGUCUACGAUCAGUAGCUGAUGUGAAGGCAUGAUCCACCAAACGUUCACUGAGACACGGGCCCGACUCCUACGGGAGGCAGCAGUAAUGAAUAUUGGUCAAUGGACGCAAGUCUGAACCAGCCAUGCCGCGUGAAGGAUUAAGGUCCUCUGGAUUGUAAACUUCUUUUAUUUGGGACGAAAAAGGGCCUUUCUAGGUCAACUGACGGUACCAGAUGAAUAAUCACCGGCUAACUCCGUGCCAGCCGCCGCCGUAAAAC